rnacentral:rRNA from 1 species
GAGUUUGAUCCUGGCUCAGAACGAACGCUGGCGGCAGGCUUAACACAUGCAAGUCGAACGGGCGUAGCAAUACGUCAGUGGCGCACGGGUGAGUAACGCGUGGAUAUCUGCCUUUUGGUUCGGGAUAACCUUGGGAAACUAGGGCUAAUACCGAAUGGUUCCUACGGGAUAAAGAUUUAUCGCCAAAAGAUGAGUCCGCGUCCGAUUAGCUAGUUGGCGGGGUAACGGCCCACCAAGGCGACGAUCGGUAGCUGGUCUGAGAGGACGAUCAGCCACACUGGGACUGAGACACGGCCCAGACUCCUACGGGAGGCAGCAGUGGGGAAUAUUGGACAAUGGGGGCAACCCCGAUCCAGCCAUGCCGCGUGAGUGAUGAAGGCCUU